rnacentral:rRNA from 1 species
GUCCACGCCGUAAACGAUGAAUGCUAGCCGUCGGUGAGCUUGCUCUUCGGUGGCGCAGCUAACGCAAUAAGCAUUCCGCCUGGGGAGUACGGUCGCAAGACUAAAACUCAAAGGAAUUGACGGGGGCCCCGCACAAGCGGUGGAGCAUGUGGUUCAAUUCGACGCAACGCGAAGAACCUUACCAGGCCUUGACAUCCCGAUUGCGGCCCCUUGAAAGAGGGGCUUUCAGUUCGGCUGGAUCGGUGACAGGUGCUGCAUGGCUGUCGU